CCAAGAUCCCUCUGUACAUCAAUGCUGUCAAGGGUCAUGCUGUUAAUCGUAUAUUUUCCCCUUGCUUAGUAAAUCACGGGAGGUGCAAAACCU